AAUCAACGCUGGCGGCGUGCCUAACACAUGCAAGUCGAGCGAGAAAGUGGAGCAAUCCAUGAGUAAAGCGGCGCACGGGUGAGUAACACGUGACUAACCUACCCUCGAGUGGGGAAUAACCUGGGGAAACCCGGGCUAAUACCGCAUAACACCUACGGGUCAAAGGAGCAAUUCGCUUGGGGAGGGGGUCGCGGCAGAUUAGUUAGUUGGCGGGGUAAAGGCCCACCAAGACGAUGAUCUGUAUCCGGCCUGAGAGGGCGCACGGACACACUGGAACUGAAACACGGUCCAGACUCCUACGGGAGGCAGCAGUGGGGAAUUUUGCGCAAUGGGGGAAACCCUGACGCAGCAACGCCGCGUGGAGGAUGAAGUCUCUUGGGACGUAAACUCCUUUCGACCGGGACGAUGAUGACGGUACCGGAAGAAGAAGCCCCGGCUAACUUCGUGCCAGCAGCCGCCGUAACAC
rnacentral:rRNA from 1 species